CAUUUUGGCUUUUAUCCAAAGCCAAGUUCAUAUUCGUUUACUUGCAGCCAUCGCCACUGUCUCUUUGUUUCCCACCAAUUUUGUUUUCUUUCGUUCUAUUUCACUAUUCCAAUCCGAGUUUGGAACUCGGGGAUUAAAAUGUGAGGUUUCUGUGUGCAAUUUGAAGGUUUAAUGGUUUUCAGGGAUUUGAUUUCGUAGCUUUGAAGUUGUGUGUAGGGAGAAUCAAAUUUCCCUUGUAAACUAUGGAUAGGAUUGGAUCCUUCAAUCACCAUACUGCAACAAAUGAUUUCCAGAAUUCUUGUAAUAGGGAUACCGAAUUUGGCGCCAAUUAUAGGAGGUUCGCUUUCUCACGUCAAGCUUCGUCUAUGCAAUGGCAAGAGCCGUCCCAUACACCGAUUUCUACCUACUCCGAUGAGUUGGCCAAGCCUUUGCUUUCGCGGAGUAUGUCGAGCAUAAACAUUCCGCCUGGGAGAUACUUUUCUUCCGAAAGUAAUUUCUUCUUUGGUGUAAAGGAUAAUUCAGGUGAUAAAUUAUCGGUUUUAUCACUCGCAUUUUCGAUUUUAGAGAAUGUGAGAUCUGGGAAUUUGUAUAUGAAGAGGUUGUUUAUUAUGAUUUUUCUCAAUGUCCUGUAUUCGACUGCCGAGUUAGCUAUUGGUCUCCUUACUGGCCGUAUUGGCCUGGUUUCUGAUGCAUUUCAUUUGACUUUUGGCUGUGGUCUUUUGACAUUUUCAUUGUUUUCCAUUGCUGCCUCUCGGAGUAAGCCUGAUCAUGUUUACACUUACGGGUACAAGAGACUAGAGGUUUUGGCUGCCUUUACCAAUGCUCUAUUUCUUCUGUUUCUGUCUUUCUCGUUAGCAGUGGAAGCACUCCAUGCAUAUAAACAAGAUGAAUCUGAGCACAAGCACUACUUAAUUGUCUCAGCCGUAACAAAUUUAAUGGUUAAUCUUAUAGGUGUUUGGUUCUUCAGGAACUAUGCUCGCAUUAAUCUUGUGUACAGAAAAGCUGAAGAUAUGAACUACCAUUCAAUUUGCUUGCAUGUUCUUGCAGAUUCUAUCCGCAGUGCAGGUCUGAUAUUGGCGUCAUGGUUUUUGUCUCUUGGGGUUCAAAAUGCUGAAGUCUUGUGCCUAGGACUGGUUUCAGUUGCAGUCUUUAUGAUUGUCAUGCCGCUCUUCAGAGCAGCCGGUGGUGUUUUACUUCAAAUGGUACCACCUAGCAUUCCAACUUCGGCAUUAAGCAAAUGUUUGAGACAGAUUACAUCCUUGGAAGACGUAUUAGAAGUCACUCAAGUGCGAUUUUGGGAAUUAGUACCCGGUCAAGUUGUUGGCUCACUCUCUCUAACGAUAAAGAAAGGAACGGACAAUCGCCAAACACUUGAAUUUGUGCAUGGUGUGUAUCAUGAAUUGGGCAUUCUGGAGUUAACAGUGCAAAUGGAAGAUGCUUGAGUUUCUGCUGCUCCAUAGUUCUUCUCUAGGCUUAUGAUAAAUACCAAUUAUCUCAAACAUGUUCCUCAGUGUUGAUGGCUUCAAGGGAAGGGUGACAUCCAAAGCUAUGGUGAGGUGUUUAUGGGCAGAGGAAGGUCCCAGGUACACAAACUAUACAUUCAUUCAUCAACAACACAGGUGAUUUGUUUGAUGAUACUCUUACUAUGCUUUAAUACAAGCCAUUGGGCGUAAGAUUUCACUACUCAUUAAUUCCUUUAUGCUAUGACUGUUUGAUUAGUUUAGAAAUCAUAGAAGAAUGUUGUGAUGCAAGGGAUCCAUAAACUUGUAGUUCUAGGUUUCAUGUACCAUCACAUUGGGCUGCUCAAGGCAAUGAUAUAAUGCCUACUUGCUAAG